rnacentral:rRNA from 1 species
GUAUCUAAUGUGUGAACGCGUGCGCUCCGCGAGGCAUGCUAGUGUGCAGAGUUGCUGGUUGAUCCUGCCAGUAGUCAUAUGCUUGUCUCAAAGACUAAGCCAUGCAUGUGUAAGUACACACCAUCCUAAGGUGAGACCGCGAAUGGCUCAUUAAAUCAGUUAUGGUUCAUUAGAUGAGUCCAAUCCUACUUGGAUAACUGUGGCAAUUCUAGAGCUAAUACACGCUUGGCACCUUUGACCUCACGGGAGGAGUGCCUUUAUUAGACCAAGACCAAUCGGACUCCGGUCCGUUACUUUGGUGAUUCUGAAUAACCUUUUGAAGAUCGCACGGUCUCGAACUGGCGACGCAUCUUUCAAAUGUCUGCCUUAUCAACUGUCGAUGGUAGGUUAUGUGCCUACCAUGGUUGUAACGGGUAACGGAGAAUCAGGGUUUGAUUCCGGAGAGGGAGCCUGAGAAACGGCUGCCACAUCCAAGGAAGGCAGCAGGCACGCAAAUUACCCACUCCCGGCACGGGGAGGUAGUGACGAAAAAUAACGAUGCGGGACUCUUCCGAGGCCCCGUAAUCGGAAUGAGUACACUUUAAAUCCUUUAGCGAGGAUCAAUUGGAAGGCAAGUCUGGUGUCAGCAGCUGCGGUAAUUCCAGCUCCAAUAGCGUAUACUAAAGUUGUUGCGGCUAAAAAGCUCGUAGUUGGAUUUCAGUCGUAGGCCGGUGGUCCACCUCAUGGUGGCUACUGCCUUGGCCUAGGCACCCUGCCGGCUCUCCCGCGAUGCUCUUGACCGGGUGUCGUGGGUGGCCGGAACGUUUACUUUGAAAAAAUUAGAGUGCUCCAAGCAGGCGCUACAGCCUGAACAACACAGCAUGGAAUAAUGGAACAGGACCUUGGUUCUGUUUUGUUGGCCUUUGGAAGCUAAGGUAAUGAUUAAUAGGGACGGACGGGGGCAUCCGUAUUGCGACGCCAGAGGUGAAAUUCUUGGACCGUCGCAAGACUAACUACUGCGAAAGCAUUUGCCAAGAACGCUUUCAUUAAUCAAGAACGAAAGUCAGAGGUUCGAAGGCGAUCAGAUACCGCCCUAGUUCUGACCAUAAACUAUGCCAACCAGCGAUCCGCCGGAGUUAAUCCCAUGACUCGGCGGGCAGCUUCCGGGAAACCAAAGUGUUUGGGUUCCGGGGGAAGUAUGGUUGCAAAGCUGAAACUUAAAGGAAUUGACGGAAGGGCACCACCAGGAGUGGAGCCUGCGGCUUAAUUUGACUCAACACGGGACACCUCACCCGGCCCGGACACCGGAAGGAUUGACAGACUGAGAGCUCUUUCUUGAUUCGGUGGGUGGUGGUGCAUGGCCGUUCUUAGUUGGUGGAGUGAUCUGUCUGGUUAAUUCCGAUACGAACGAGA